rnacentral:rRNA from 1 species
UGCCUAAGACAUGCAAGUCGAACGAGACUAGUAUGUAGCACGAAGAAUUCCUCCACAGUGGAAGUUUUCGUGCUAUAUACAAGUUUAGUGGCAAACGGGUGAGUAAUGAGUACGAACGUACUCUCAAGCGGAGGAUAGCCCACCGAAAGGUGGAGUAAUACUCUAUGUGAUCGUAAGAUCAAAGACGCAAGUCACUUGAGAAGCGGCGUACUUACUACCAGCUAGUUGGUGAGGUAACGGCUCACCAAGGCGAUGACGGUUACCGGCUCUUAGCGGAGAGUCCGGCACAAUGGGACUGAGACACGGCCCAUACUUCUACGGAAGGCAGCAGUUAGGAAUUUUGCGCAAUGGACGAAAGUCUGACGCAGCGACACCGCGUGUGGGAUGAAGGCCUUAGGGUCGUAAACCAC